AUUGAACGCUGGCGGCGUGCCUAAUACAUGCAAGUCGAGCGAAUGGAUUAAGAGCUUGCUCUUAUGAAGUUAGCGGCGGACGGGUGAGUAACACGUGGGUAACCUGCCCAUAAGACUGGGAUAACUCCGGGAAACCGGGGCUAAUGCCGGAUAACAUUUUGAACCGCAUGGUUCGAAAUUGAAAGGCGGCUUCGGCUGUCACUUAUGGAUGGACCCGCGUCGCAUUAGCUAGUUGGUGAGGUAACGGCUCACCAAGGCAACGAUGCGUAGCCGACCUGAGAGUGUGAUCGGCCACACUGGGACUGAGACACGGCCCAGACUCCUACGGGAGGCAGCAGUAGGGAAUCUUCCGCGAUGGACGAAAGUCUGACGGAUCAACGCCGCGUGAGUGAUGAAGGCUUUCGGGUCGUAAAACUCUGUUGUUAGGGAAGAACAAGUGCUAGUUGAAUAAGCUGGCACCUUGACGGUACCUAACCAGAAAGCCACGGCUAACUACGUGCCAGCCGCCGCCGUAA
rnacentral:rRNA from 1 species